rnacentral:lncRNA from 1 species
GUUACAUGAGCUACGUGCCAUUUUUCUUUCAGAAUUUUGAUUUUACCAUCCAACCAUUCGAUUUGUUUGAUUUGCGUCAGUCAACAGUACAUUGAUUUUGAAAUUUAAAUAUAUCAUUUAUCUUCACAGAUUAAUUAAUUAGUUUGUACACGUACUUCAUGUAAUUCUCACAACUAUAAAUUCACUUAAGUAAAAAAUUUAACUUAACUUUUAUUAGAGUGCCAUAUAACUUGAAAAAUCAAAGAGUCUGGCUACUAUACUUUUAUGAGUGAAUAUAGAGCUUCUUCUACUCAAAAGUUUUAGGCCGUUUGAUCUACCUUUCAAUCAUCUUCACCCAUUAAAUUAUACUAUUCAACCAACCACCCACUCAACCCUACGGAUCCCACUAUCAAUCUAACCGUAACCACUCUCAUCAUAACCACAUAUUUUUUUCUUCCAAAUGACCGAAAAGUUAUGAGUACAAAAGGCUCUAUACUUAUAUGAGUAUAAUAGCUCCAGCCAAAAUCGGAUGGUAAAAUUAAAUUUUAAAAAAAAAUCAAAUAACAAAUUUAGAAUAAUU